rnacentral:lncRNA from 1 species
AGGAGUUGGAUGAAUGCCCGAAGCUGGGUGCCAGAAACCACCUGGGAAACCGGCAGCCACUGGAGAAGAAAAUGACAACGGAGAGAGAAAGCAAGUUACAGAAGGGAUGAGUCUGAAACAGGCAUCAAUAAGACACCUUUGGGACCUGAGGGUCCUAAUGGGUCCUGUGGAUGGAAUGGAUCCGUGGAGAGAGAUAAAACAAGAGGAAAACAAGAAACUUGUAAGACUUUCUAAUGGAAGAAAUCAUCCUGUGAGCAGGAUUUAUAAUGUGGAAUAUGGAAACUCUCCACGAGAAUACAAAAAAGUUCAUGUUUCUAUUCAUUGGGUCUUGUACUGAAACUGAACUUCAUUGCUUCAGCCAGGAUGGAUGGCCAACGAGCUUCAGGGAUCUGUCUGUCUCCAACCCCUCAAGCCUGGAAUUAUAGACACAGGGCACCAUAUCUGGCUUUUAUGUGGGCACUGAAUUCAGGGCGCUCAGGCACUAUGCCAGCAGAUCCAUCUCUCUAGUCUCUCUCUCUCUACGUUUUCAAGAAUCCUUUCCCAAGGAUUCAGGAAGGGAGAGAAAAGAUUAGAAUCUAAAAAAUAUAGAAGAAGAAGAAGAAGAAGGAGGAGGAGGAGGAGGAGG